GAUGAACGCUGACAGAAUGCUUAACACAUGCAAGUCUACUUGAACUUCGGUUUGGGUGGCGGACGGGUGAGUAACGCGUAAAGAACUUGCCUCACAGUUAGGGACAACAUUUGGAAACGAAUGCUAAUACCUGAUAUUAUGAUUUUAGGGCAUCCUAGGAUUAUGAAAGCUAUAUGUGCUGUGAGAGAGCUUUGCGUCCCAUUAUCUAGUUGGAGAGGUAACGGCUCACCAAGGCGAUGAUGGGUAGCCGGCCUGAGAGGGUGAACGGCCACAAGGGGACUGAGGCACGGCCAUUACUCAUACGGGAGGCAGAAGUGGGGAAUAUUGGACAAUGGACCAAAAGUAUGAUCCAGCAAUUCUGUGUGCACGAUGACGUUUUUCGGAAUGUAAAGUGCUUUCAGUUGGGAAGAAAAAAAUGACGGUACCAACAGAAGAGGUGACGGCUAAAUACGUG
rnacentral:rRNA from 1 species